GAACUGCACCACAAGACUUACAGGGAAAUCAGAGUCUUACUGACAACAGCAUAAUGAGAAUUUGUUCCCAUGCUGUUCUGACAAUGCAGUCCUCAGCCAGAAAGAUAAAUGUGCUGGUAUACGGUGAUAAAUUCAAUUAUUUUAUAUUUCCACUGAACUUAUGUGAUCUAGGAAUGUGACUUCUUUCCUUUCCAUUUGAAGGAUUUGGAUGGCUCAUUGCUGCCUGCAAUAAAUGAGCCUGGAUAUGUAACAUCUCUCAGGAUCCAAAUAAAGGAUAUUCCCUUAGAAUCACUCAGUGGUGUAGUCAAGUGGUGCAUGGGUAGUGACAGCCUGCAUUAAGACCCUUGGUACUGGGAAACCUUCAGCUGCAUAGGUACAAAGAUGGAGGAGCUGAGAAGAGUGAUGAAUUUGCCUAGUUAGCAAUUAACACCAAUUAAUACCUUGACUCAGAGUCCAUAUUUCAACACAGAUAUCUAACUUACAAGAUAUUUGGAAAGAAAGAUACAGGUCUCGCGAACAAGUGUAGCAUACUCUUAAAAUGUUUCCUUCAGGUCAUACGUGGACUGUAAGUGCUAGUGCAUAGCCCAUCCAGGAAGAGCAACUGGACAACUUGAAGAGGGAAUUUUACUCACCACAGGGAAUGUAUGAGAGUCCAAGACAAUUUCCCAUCCUCUGAACAAAGGAAAAAUGCAAAAAAGGUACAAUUCUGUAAUAGGACUUGAAAAGCUUUUGGCUGUAGUCCACAAGUUUCCCCCGUGAGGGACAAAUUGCUCCACUUCUCAGUGCUACCUACUGAUGUUAUUUGUGGAAAAUGAUUUAAGUGGGCACUUAAAUUCCUUUGGAGAUAGAAGUUAAUCAGUUUUGGAACAAAAUAUGUUAGCACAAAGAUGGUCUACCAAAAUGAGACUUUGUUGAGGGUUAAUAUAUUACUGAAUGAUAAUCUUUUCACUAUAUAGUAAUAGAUGGUGUGUUUCACUUAAUAAUUCAUACAGCACUUCUUAUGUCCACCUUCUCUUUUCCUCACCUGUUAUGUCAGCUUGAUGAUGACCAUCAAUCACUGUGAAUCACAUGCCAGUGUAUGUUUUAGCCAUUUGAAAGUGCAUUUAAAGUGGCAGAAAAUAAAUUAAUGACCUACUGGGCAGAAAUCACAACUGCAGUGUUUCAGAAGUUUUAUUAAAAAAUCCAAUUAAACUUCGUGCCAUUCACCCAAGACAAGAAAAUGGGAUAGAUGCCAAAUUAGUUCUCAAAAUAGCUCCUUUUGAGAAUACAAACUUCUUUGUUUGGCUGCUUGAGGUUUUUUUGCUUGGUUAGUGGCUGACUUCACAUUUAUAAUCAUUUUAAUUGUUAUUAUAUAAUUGUAUUGUAUUGUAUUAUACAUUAUAUAUUAUAUAUGAUAUUGUUAUAUAAUAUUUUACCAUUGUUUUUACUGCCCAACAUUACACAUGGCAUCUAUUACUUGCCUCUCAUUUGUAGCCACUCUGACACUCAUUCUUGAUCUGAGUAUUCAGGUAGCUCUCUUCCAUCUACUAUGGUGAAUGCAAAUAUUUAGGAUUAUUAACCUAAUUACAAAGACUUUAUUCUAUAUUGAAAACCAGUACCUCUCACAGAAGAGCAACAUGCAUCAGAUUCUAGCAAAGAGUGAUCCUUCUAUCAGCAUACUAAUUCGUAGAAUCAUACAAUUAUUAAGGUUGGAAAAGUCCACUAAGAUCAUCUAGUCCAGCCAUCAACCCAUAACCACUCUUCCCACAGAACCAUGUCCCUUGGUACCACAUCUACACCUCUUGAAAACCUCCAGAAACAGUGACUUUACCACCUCCUUAGGCAGACACUUCCUGGAACUGAAUACCUCCCCAGACCUUCACUUUGUCACUGUGUAGCCAUUCUUAGGGAAACAGGAAGCAACACACAGUACUGUAACAAUGAGAUGAAGUGAAAGAGAAUAAUAAUUCUAAUUCAAAUCCAGUGAUAACUAGAUGGAGAGAGGUGGUACGCAAAUGAGAUUGCCAAGAGGAAGGUCUCUCUUCAAGCUAGGAUAUUAGAAGAUAUAUGCAUAUUUCCUGCCUUUGAAGAUUUCCUGUAUGAGACGCUGGAAGACUCACAUUCCAAACUUCAAUGCCCGAUCUACAGAAUGAUGCUAUGAUUUUUGGUUAGGCCUUCAAAAAAUUCUUAUUAGUCAUACAUGCAACAAUGAUAUCUACAAGUUCUUCAGGAAUAAAAUGGUAUGAUAC
ensembl:lncRNA